rnacentral:rRNA from 1 species
AUUGAACGCUGGCGGCAUGCCUUACACAUGCAAGUCGAACGGCAGCACGGGGGCAACCCUGGUGGCGAGUGGCGAACGGGUGAGUAAUACAUCGGAACGUGCCCAGUAGUGGGGGAGUAGCCCGGCGAAAGCCGGAUUAAUACCGCAUGCGACCUACGGGUGAAAGCGGGGGAUCGCAAGACCUCGCGCUGUUGGAGCGGCCGAUGUCAGAUUAGGUUGUUGGUGGGGUAAAGGCCACCAAGCCGACGAUCUGUAGCUGGUCUGAGAGGACGACCAGCCACACUGGGACUGAGACACCGG